ensembl:lncRNA
UCCCGCUUCACGGAUGGUUAGAGGAAGAGCUCGGCAGCGGUUUCCUACCGUCGAGCGUUACAGAAUUGCAUGGGUUGGAGGAGACCUCUGGAGAUGAUCAAGUCCAAACCCCUGCUAAAGCAGGUACCCUACAGCAGAUCACACAGGAGCCUGACCCCAUGGACUUGACUCCCACACUUCAGAUAUUUAUGAACAGCGAUGGGAUUUCUUCUCAGCCUUCUCUUCUCCAUGCUGAACAGCCUUCUCUCAUAAAGGAGGUGCUCCAGGACCCUCAUCAUCUCUGUGGCCUUCCGCUGGACUCUCUCUAGAAGUUCCCUGUCUUUUUUGAACAGAGGAGCUCAGAACUGGACAUAGUACUCUGGAUGUGGCCUCACCAGAGCAGAGUUGAGGGGGAAGAUCACCUCCCUUGACCUGCUGGCCACAUUCUUUUCAAUGCACUCCAGGAUACCAUUGCCCUGCUUGGCCACCCAGGCGCACUGCUGGCUCAUGGCCAACCUGUUGUCCACCAGGACCAUUAAGUUCUCCUCAGAGCUCCUCUCCAGCAGGUCAGUCUCUAACCUGUACUGGUGCAUAUGGUUAUUCCUCCCCGGGUGCAGGGCACUACACUUGCACUUGUUGAACCUCAGCAGUCUGAUCAGGUUUUGUUGAAGGGCAGCACAGCCCUCUGGUGUGUCAGCCAUUCCUCCCACCUUUGUAUAAUCAGCAAACUUGCUGAGGGUGGAAUCCCCUCAUCUAGAGUGGUCCCUACUGGUCAUUCUGACAUGGUGCUAAAGUGGCCAGAGUGGACCAGUACAUCAGAUCCACAAAGUGUGGAUUUAUUCAGAAGUCUAAAGAUCCCUCAAUACCCUCUUCCCCUUGCUCAUUACCACUGGCUUGUGCAAUGCUGAACUGGUGCCAGUCAUGUGGUUGCAGCUAAGUGGUUGUGUCCUCCUCCACUCAUACAGCAGGGAUGCAUCUGCUCUAGAAACAGGGAAGACUACAUAAAAAUACAUUUCGGCUAAUUUUGUUCUGAAGUACUCUAGGACACUGCAGUAGUAGAACUUAUUUUAGAUGAAAAUUGCACAUCUGCAAAGAUUUCUGCAUCAUCCCGAUAGUGUUCUGGCAUCUCCAUUUCAGCAAUUCCCUCAGUGCAAAGUGGAUUUUGUGAAAAGAAAAUACACAUGAGUGGAUUGCCACCUGCAGCCUAGUUUUCUAUGAAUCUGAAACAGUGACUCAGUACUCAAAGAUAUUGUUAGAUAAUAAUAUACCACUUAUAUGUGUGUAUAUAUAUAUAUAUAUGGAUGCCUUUAUGCUGUUGAUGUUUUUUUCAUGGUCUCUCUAGGUUAGUAUUUCCUUAUCAGUUUUAAGUUCUGCAUCUCUACUUCAAAUAAGAUGAGAUGGAGUCCUUGAUUUCAGUUGCUAUAUGCUUCUCUUCAUCCUUCCCAACUAAACAUGGAGCUUUGUUGGAUACCAGCCCUCUUCUGGAAUCUUGCCAAAAGCAGGUGCUUCCUACAACACGUGAUGGCCUGUUCGAAAUAACAAAUUCUGUUAGGCAACAAUGGAGAAGAAAGAAAAACCAGAUACUGGGUGGGCAUUUUGGAUCACAGUAAUAUAAGGAAGCCUAAAGUUGUGUCUCUCGCCUAACUCCUCGGUGUCUCCAUAUCCAGAAAGGUGGAUGGAUCUCUCUUUGCAGUGACCAAGAAGGCAGAGUUCAUGGUGCACUUGGCAGACCUUGCUGGGUUGUUCACAGGUUAGAUAUGAGGAGGGUUCUUACUCCCUGAAAUGAUGGUUUUCUGCUUUAAACUCAUUUGUGUUAAGGUAGGGAAAGAAUGAUUCUGCUACCAGGUCAAUCACCCCCAAUUCUCUUCUUGUUUCUUUUUAUACUUGGGCUCAAUUUCCUCCUUCUCCCCAGAGUUGACAUCUCAGUUAUAAGGAAAUCCAUAAAUUUUACUUCCUUUUAGAGCUGCCAAGGUUGUGUAUGGUUUGCUUUUUUUCAUGGUGAUCAGGGUGCUGUUGAGAGCAUUUGAACAGGCUUACAUACUCUCUUUUCUCUGCGCAGAUAGCAAGGCUUUAUUCUGUAGCCUCUAUAAAGCCACAGAAAAGCUCCGUUUGUCAGUGAUGGAAAUUAGUGGAUACCUUUGUUCUCUCAGUGAGUGCCAUAUCCAAAAAAAAAUCAAGUUGCGGAGAUUCUCUUGCAAAUUCUAAUUAACAGUCAGGAUGGAUUCUGAAAUAGGUGGGAAAUGGGAAUGUAUUCUGGAAUAUUUUUGCAUGAUAUGCCUUGUGGUACGUCAGGAUUGUGCAUUUUGAAAAGUGCCAUUGACAUCAGUGAAGGGAAUGCAGUGAAUUCAGUGAAUGCUGACACAGACAAUGCGAUUGGAACCAGAAAUAAAGGACUGAAUUGAUUUCUCCUAAUUUAGAUACCUUCAGCUGAGCUAGCCUUGAAUGUACCCAUCUCCACUGAGUAUAAAGGGACCCUAGGGUGACUUGCUCAUAUGUAAAGGUCUAUACUCUGGAAUGUUUAAUAUUAACUAAAAUUAAUCUUACUCACAAGAGUUGGUUUCUUAUUCAUUUCAGCUUUCUGCCAUGUAUCAGUUUUCUUAUGUGGGGUCAUAUUAUGGACUGAUUACAGGAUCAGAGCCUGUCUCCAUCUUAUUUGCAGAAGCUGUGGGAAAAGAAAGGAAUACAGAGAAAAGAAGCAACUGGAUAAGGCAAAUCUUUGCUCCUAAUCUGAGUAUUGUAUGUAAUGGCUGCCUGGGAAACGUGUGGUAGGAGAAAUUAAUGAUUCUGAAAUGAGAAAAACCUGGUAAGACAAUGUCUUCAAACCCAGCUCUGGAUGCUUCUGUAAAUCCUACAAAUCCCAGUGCAUCAAAGGUGCAGUAAAGGGGCCACUUUAUCCUCGAGUUUGUUGGUCUACUGGGAAACACUGCCAGCUCCUGAGAAGGCAGCACCUUGCGUUGUUCUACCUUACUCUGGCUCUCAGCCCAGUGUGGAGUCCCAGGGAGAGAGAGAAUUACCGCAACGCUUCAGGAAAGGAUAAACAAGCGCGCAGCACCUGGGCUCGAAGCCACGCUUUAUCUCAAACCUCCUGAAGCAUAUGUGAGCCUCAUUUUUGCCAAGGCCAACCCAUCCUUUCCGUCUGAAUGCAGCAAGCCGCAAAUCCAGGAGGGAUGCUCUGCCCAAGGUGUGAGAAGAUCCUGCGGAUUCGCAUGCCUCUGCUCCUGUGCCUCAGCUGCUGAACGCUGAAAUCUCCACUGGUUGGACAGUGAGACUGGAAGCACAGAGAAGCGAUAAAGAACAACGCGAGCGGAUUCAAAGGGGAUUUGGAUCAUUUAGUUGAUGAGCCAGCAGAUGGCAAAUGCUGCUUAGUAUAGAAAAUGAAAAGUAAUUAGUCUGGGAACAAAGAGCAAAUGUAAGGAAGGGGUGUUAUAUUCAGCACGCUGAUCAGAGAGAAAAAGGGGUAACCGUGGAAAAAAAUCAUAGAAACCGUCACUUCAGUGCACAGCUGCAAUAAAAAAGGCAAACAAGACACUAAACUGAUGGAACAAUGAGCUAUAAUGCACCAGGAAAGAGGCAAUACAGUCCUCUGGAAGAUGGUUAUUAGGCCUCGCUAGAAUACUGCGUGGAGCAUGGGUCACUGUCUCAGGAAGGUUAUGUUUGGAGAAAGGUGUAUUAUAAAGCAACUAAACUCUAAUGGUUUCAGUGAUCUCAGUUCUGAGGCAAAGUUAAGAGGCUCAUUUUAAGGGGUCAAAGAGUCCUUAAAGGGAUUUUAAAAUUAUAGUAACAAUCAGUAGUGUUACCAGACAACAUUUAGAGUGCUAUGAGAUUAUGAAAAUUAAGGAAGUGGUGCUGAGCACAGAGCAGAAACUUCACAAAGUGCUGCACAAAAAGAAGAGACCAUUUCCUUCUGACUGCACUGUGUUAGCUGAGGGUCAGUUCAGCUUCAGGAGUGCUUGGGCCAGUGAGUGGUGCACUGUUACAGUACAUGAGACUAUCGUGUGGAACAAGCAGAAGGGCAGGAAAGGCCUGGAAAAAAUGGUUCAGGGUUUGUUUUUAUUUGCUUUCUGCAUGUAUAGGUUCCUAAACUGUACCUUGUCUACCAAUAAAAUGUGCAUCCUUUGCACACAAGUCAUAACAAACGUGCACUGGGGCAAAGAAGAAGAAAGAACAGCGUGGGAUCAUACUGUGUACAAAUAAGCAAGUUUCAGGUUUAGUUGAGACAAAGAAUUGUUGUUGGGUUGCUGCUUGAGAGAGCAUAGAAUCACAGAAUGUUGGUUGGAAGGACCUCAAUACCCACCCAGCUCCAACCCUCUGCCAUGGGCAGGGCUGCCCCCCCCCAGCUCAGGCUGCCAAAGGCCCCAUCCAACCUGGCCUUGAGCGCCUCCAGGAACGGGCCACAGGAACAUGAGAGGCUGAACUGGAGUUAUAUCCACCUAUGUUUAAAAAAGGUUGGUUUUUAAUGAUAUAUCACCAGGAAAUAGAAGGCAAGCCUCCUAAAAGAGAGCUAUUUUCUAUGGCUUAAGCUUAGAUCAUGAUUAAGCUUUGCCCUUUUUGAUGCUGGCAGCUCUAUAAAAGGGAAAGCAAGACAGGAGCAGGCAAGAUUGAGCUUGACUUUGUUGUGCAGUGAGGAAGGUAUCGAAUACUCACACUCCACAUCUGCAUGGUUGUGGCUCCCCAGUCUUAGUUCCACUCUAUUGUUAUAAAGAAAAUGGUUUUGUGCUGAAAAUGCCUUGUGCAGAUUUACUACAGAUGGUGCCGUAUCGCUAGUGGAAAAACACAGGUCUGAAUCUGCUGAUGUUGUUGCAGCUAGGCAAAGCUUUCCAGUGCCUCUGAAGUUGAUGCAGAGGUGGGAAAAUAGAAAUUGUGUAGACUGAUGAUCUGGCCUUGAAAGGACCAGCAACAACUGCUUGUAUCAACCUCAGAGACAGAUGUGGGAUAAUCUACCCCUCUAGAAACUUCAUUUUUCUUCUCCCAUAGUCAGAUACUGGCUUAAAUUCCAAAGCCCUGCCUUUAUACUUCCAAGUUUAGCGUAAUUGUUCUGACUGAAUGUUCUUGUGAUCCAUAUAGCCAUCCAGUCUUUCUUUGAAUCCUACAAAAUUCUUGACCUUGAUGCUUUCCUGUGGUGAUAUCUUCCACUGUCCAAUUAUACGUUAUGUGGAAGAGAUUUUCCUUUGAUCACCUUUGAAUGCAUGAGGUCUUCAUUUCAUUGAACAUUUCUUUAUUCUUGUAUUAUACGGCAAGAUAAAGAGAAGUAUCUGAUACAUCUUCUCGUGGUGUAUUUGGUAAUUUAUCUUGCUAUGUCUCUUACGCAUCUUCUUUCAGAGAUAAACAAACCUCAGUCUUUUCAGUCUCCUGCCACGGCCCUGCCUCUGCCUCCACCCCCUGCCUUCUUACUCUCACUCUUACUCUCCGACCUCUACUUGUUCCUGCAGGGUCUUUUAGAGCUUGGAAGGGAUAAGGACAGAUGAGAAUGCAGCACUGAUUGGUACAGAGGGAGAAUACUGUCUGCUUUAUUCACUGUCUCAUUCACUGAGUAGCUGAACAUUUUGUUGGCUGUUUGGAUUGCAGCUGUACCCUGAGUAGAUGUCUUUCCUGAGCUGUCUCUAUGGUUGUUUAGGCAGUUGGUGCUGAGCUCUUCACUUCAGACAUUAACUUCUGUAACCACCUCCUCUCUGGCAUCUCUAACAGUCAUGCUGUCUCACUUCAUCUGGCAGAUAUUUUGCUACCCAGGCAGUCUGCAUUAUCCAGCAACCUGACCUUAUCUCACCUUCCUUAUUCCUUUUUUCUUAUCACAUCAAGAAGAAAGGCCUUACCCUCAUUUUAAAAAGGCCUUUUUAAUGCUUCUUUUUGCUAUCUGCCUGCUUUUAUGCCCUUCUUAAACUAUUCAUGACUUCCCUUUCAUGUUUUUGUAGUUCUCAUGUGCUUUUCCGACACUGCCCGUGCAGACUUUAUGAUGGGAGCUUUUCUGUGCUGAUCUGUAAGGUUACUUACUACUACUUUGUAGUCAUUCAGACCAUCCUUAAGUCUAGCUUUCUGGUAGUACCUCCAAGAUACAGCAAAGAGCAACGAUGCAGGGUAAUCUGGAAUUGCACAGUACGUCCAUUAGAAGUGCCCAGAUGUGAAGAUGUGCAGAGGGUGGAGCUCUCAUGAUGUUUAGUAGGAGGUGUGCUUCCUCUCUUAUGUAGAAAACUCCUUGGAAAGUAAAAAAUAAUUCAUGUGAGAUUAGACAGUGACCUCCAGGGCAGCUGGGAACCAGGCACGCAAGUGCACUUCAGUCACAUAGGUGACUCCCCAUCCCAUUAGGACAGUGCAGGAAGCUUUCUCACAGUUUUGGAGCUGAAGAUGUUUCUCAUAUGCUGUUGUUGUAGUCUUGUAGACUGUGGGGUUUUUUUUGUAUAGGAACCCUGUUUGCAAACUAUCACCUCGUUGAGCUAAAACCCAAAACAUUCUUGAGGCUGAAAAGGGAAUUUACUUCUGAGUGUUUCCUGUUUUUUGAGGCUAUUUCAUACCACAGUGCUGUUCUGGAUAAAACAGUGUUUCUUUCAUUCCAGUAUAUAGUACUGGAAAUUAAUAAAUUAUUGAAGGUAGGAAGAUGGGAGUGAAUUAGAAGUGAACCGAGUGAAGAUCAGGUGGUACCUGAAGAAUUUCACCUGGGAAAGUGCCACUGAGAGGAAUUAGCACUGAGGUUGUCAUGUGUUGGGCUGAAAUCCACAAAGCAUUUGUUUCUGCUGCCUUACUCAGGAAGGUGCAGAAGAGAUGUUGGGAGGCACCUGGCCACUUAAUUUUGGGGAGAGCAAAGGGGAUGGUGAACAAUUCCCAACAUUGUUUAAAAUGAGGAAGAGAGUGGUGAGUAGAACCUCUUUUUUACUUUAAUAAAGGCAAUGUAAUCUGAAUGUCAUCUCUUCAUUAUGUGGUGACUGUGACUGACACAUGAUUUAAAUUGGUACUUGUAAGGCAAAUGGAAAAAAGAAGAGAAUGGCUGAGCAGUAGAAGCAAAACCAGUUGGGUCACUUCUCUUUCUUUAGUGUAAAAUUCUCAGAACACGCUCACUGAGAAAAGGUAUAAUCAAAAGUGAAUUUCGAGUUGCUUUCAGGGUUCCAACUGCCUUCCAUCUUCUCAAGGCCCCUAUUUUUGCUUUGAUAGAGGCUUUGUGAGAUGGUUAUCAUACCUCUUUCUUAGGUCUGGAAACCGACAAUACAGCUUCAUCCUCUUCUUGUGGCUUUGUCUGGAUGAGGAUGGGGAAUUUGAUGAGACGGUGACCUAAAGCAGCAGGACAAGACAAAGUACAGUUUUUGUGUACGCCUUGUUAAAUUUAAACUUAAAUUCUCCACUCUUGCUGUGUUUUAACUCGAUACGCAGUGAAGUCUACUGUAUUUCAUUUUGAUUAGAAAAUAAAAGCUCAAGCUAGUUGACAGGAUCUUAGCCUUGGCACUUUAAUUCCAUCCUAGACAAUAAAUAUGUUCUGAUGAAGCAAGAACAAAUUAUUUCUGCUCCAUCUGAACCUUUUUGAAGCUUUUGCAACAUCUUUGAAGUUUAGGUAACUUUUAAGGCCUAAACCCUUAAUUGACCAGAGCUGCAAAAGCUUGUUUUUGUUACCUUUAGAGAAGCAGAGUAGCAGUGAGAGGGCUGGCGAUAUGUCUCAAGGUACUUUUUCAAGGAUAUACACCCUUUCCCCAGCUGCUUUUCCAAUAAAGUAUACUCUUUUUGCUUGGUGUUCUCUCUGCUUUACCUGGUGGGACUUGUAAAUCAUAAGCUGUAUGCAGCACUGUGGGACUGAGAAAUACCUUUCUGGGUAGGUUUAGGGAUAAGGGAAGGGAAGGGAAGGGAAG